UACGGAGGGUGCGAGCGUUGUCCGGAAUCACUGGGCGUAAAGGGCGCGUAGGCGGCCUGAUAAGUAGGGGGGUGAAAUCCUGCGGCUUAACCGCAGGGCUGCCUUCUAAACUGUCAGGCUGGAGCACAGUAGAGGCAGGUGGAAUUCCCGGUGUAGCGGUGGAAUGCGUAGAGAUCGGGAAGAACAUCAGUGGCGAAGGCGGCCUGCUGGGCUGUUGCUGACGCUGAGGCGCGACAGCGUGGGGAGCAAACAGG
rnacentral:rRNA from 1 species